GAUGAACGCUAGCUACAGGCUUAACACGAUGCAAGUCGAGGGGCAGCAUGAACUUAGCUUGCUAAGUUUGAUGGCGACCGGCGCACGGGUGAGUAACACGUAUCCAACCUGCCGAUGACUCGGGGAUAGCCUUUCGAAAAGAAAGNUUAAUACCCGAUGGCAUAUUUCUUCCGCAUGGUAGAACUAUUAAAGAAUUUCGGUCAUCGAUGGGGAUGCGUUCCAUUAGGUUGUUGGCGGGGUAACGGCCCACCAAGCCUUCGAUGGAUAGGGGUUCUGAGAGGAAGGUCCCCCCACAUUGGAACUGAGACACGGUCCAAACUCCUACGGGAGGCAGCAGUGAGGAAUAUUGGUCAAUGGACGAGAGUCUGAACCAGCCAAGUAGCGUGAAGGAUGACUGCCCUAUGGGUUGUAAACUUCUUUUAUACGGGAAUAAAGUGAGGCACGUGUGCCUUUUUGUAUGUACCGUAUGAAUAAGGAUCGGCUAACUCCGUG
rnacentral:rRNA from 1 species